GAUGAACGCUGGCGGCGUGCCUAACACAUGCAAGUCGAACGGAGAUUGCAGACGGAAGUUUUCGGAUGGAAGACUGUAAUUCUUAGUGGCGGACGGGUGAGUAACGCGUGGGCAACCUGCCCUAUACAGGGGGAUAGCAGCUGGAAACGGCUGGUAAGACCGCAUAAGUCGGCGAGACCGCAUGGUUUUGUCGGGAAAUGAGCAAUCAGGUAUAGGAUGGGCCCGCGUCCGAUUAGCCAGUUGGCAGGGUAAAAGCCUACCAAAGCAACGAUCGGUAGCCGGACUGAGAGGUCGGACGGCCACAUUGGGACUGAGACACGGCCCAAACUCCUACGGGAGGCAGCAGUGGGGGAUAUUGCACAAUGGAGGAAACUCUGAUGCAGCGACGCCGCGUGAGUGAAGAAGUAUUUCGGUAUGUAAAGCUCUAUCAGCAGGGAAGAUGAUGACGGUACCUGACUAAGAAGCCCG
rnacentral:rRNA from 1 species